rnacentral:rRNA from 1 species
UGCAAGUCGAGCGGAACGAGUUAUCUGAACCUUCGGGGAACGAUAACGGCGUCGAGCGGCGGACGGGUGAGUAAUGCCUAGGAAAUUGCCCUGAUGUGGGGGAUAACCAUUGGAAACGAUGGCUAAUACCGCAUGAUGCCUACGGGCCAAAGAGGGGGACCUUCGGGCCUCUCGCGUCAGGAUAUGCCUAGGUGGGAUUAGCUAGUUGGUGAGGUAAGGGCUCACCAAGGCGACGAUCCCUAGCUGGUCUGAGAG